AUAACUCGGUCUCAAAAUAAAUAAAUACAUACAUACAUAGAUGAAAAUUAAAAAAAUAAAGUACAACUCAGUGGUUUUCAGCAUAUUUACAGAGUUGUACAAUCUUCACCACUAUCUAAUUUCAGAACAUUUUCAUCACCCCCAAAAGAAACCUCACCCAUUGACUAGCUCUCCAUUCCUCCCUCUCCCUAGCCUCUGGCAACCACUCAUCUCUUUUCUGUCUCUCUAGAUUUGCCUAUUUUGGACAGUUCAUAUAAAAGGAAUCAUACCACAUGUAGCCUUUUGUGUCUGGCUUCUUUGAUUAAUAGAAUGUUUUCAAGGCUCAUCUAUGUUGUAGCCUGUAUCAGCACUUCAUUCCUUUCUAUGGCUGAAUAAUAGUCCACUGUAUGGAUGUGCCAUAUUUUUCCACUAGUUGAUGGACAUUUGAGUUGUUUCCACCUUUUGGCUAUUAUAAAUAUUGCUGCCAUAAAUAUUCACUUACAAGUUUUUGUGUGGACAUGUUUUUAUUUCUUUUGGUAUAUCCUUAGGAGUGGAACUGCUGGAUCAUACGGUAACUCUAUGUUUAACCUGGCAGUUACCAAACAGAAUCCUAUGCAUGCUGUAGUCCAUGAGUUAAAAUAAACACUUGACCCUUAGUAAGUGCCAAAUCAUCUUCAUUUCACAGCAACCUGUAAUUUCACAGAUGAGGACAUGAAGGCUCCCAGAGGUGAACUGGCUUUUCCCAUUUGACCAGUUCCAAGUCAGACAGUUAAAAAGUGGCAGGACCUGGAAGAGAAGCUAGUUCUUUCACCCUGGCAUUCAGGGCUGCCUCCUGGGCUACGGGGCUGGCAUUUAGAAUAGAGGAAGCAGAGCUAAGGUCUGCUGCCAAGGCAGGUGCCCCAGUCUUCCUCCUCUGUGUCCUUAUUCCACUUUCUCUGCAGCCCUCCAGGGGACCCCUCUGUCAGCCACCCUCUCUCUGGUGAUGUCACAGUGCUGCCGGAAGAUCAAAGAUACGGUGCAGAAACUGGCUUCGGACCAUAAGGACAUUCACAGCAGUGUAUCCCGAGUGGGCAAAGCCAUUGACAGGGUGAGCAUGUGGCCAGCUCCAGGCCUGGGGUGGGAGUACCCUGAAGCUGGGAUGUACAAGGACUCGAAGGACAGCCAGCAAGAGUGCCCGCAUCACCAGGCCCUGUCUCUCCUCCUCCGUCAGAACUUCGACUCUGAGAUCUGUGGUGUUGUGUCAGAUGCGGUGUGGGAUGCGCGGGAACAGCAGCAGCAGAUCCUGCAGAUGGCCAUCGUGGAACACCUGUACCAGCAGGGCAUGCUCAGCGUGGCCGAGGAGCUGUGCCAGGAAUCAACGCUGAAUGUGGACUUGGAUUUCAAGCAGCCUUUCCUAGAGUUGAAUCGAAUCCUGGAAGCCCUGCACGAACAAGACCUGGGUCCUGCGUUGGAGUAAGGAGGCCCUUGGGUGGGCCAGCAGCACUCUGCUCCGACCUCUCAGGGCACAGGGCUUGACUGUGGUCUUCAGUUCACCCAGAUGUACUUGACUUGCCUCCAGCCCUGUCUCAAGAGCCUCACACAGGCUUUUGGGGCCCUCCUCUCAGGUCCUGGCUCUCAGGUCCUAGCCCCCACCAGCUCUACACUAAACUGGCCCCUUUCUUCCCAGAUGGGCCGUCUCCCACAGGCAGCGCCUGCUGGAACUCAACAGCUCCCUGGAGUUCAAGCUGCACCGACUGCACUUCAUCCGCCUCCUGGCAGGAGGCCCCGAGAAGCAGCUGGAGGCCCUCAGCUAUGCUCGGCACUUCCAGCCCUUUGCUCGGCUGCACCAGCGGGAGAUCCAGGUGAUGAUGGGCAGCCUGGUGUACCUGCGGCUAGGCUUGGAGAAGUCACCCUACUGCCACCUGCUGGACAACAGCCACUGGGCGGAGAUCUGUGAGACCUUUACCCGGGACGCCUGUUCCCUGCUGGGGCUUUCUGUGGAGUCCCCGCUUAGCGUCAGCUUUGCCUCUGGCUGUGUGGCGCUGCCCGUGUUGAUGAACAUCAAGGCUGUGAUUGAGCAGAGGCAGUGCACUGGGGUCUGGAGUCACAAGGACGAGUUGCCGAUUGAGAUUGAACUAGGCAUGAAGUGCUGGUACCACUCCGUGUUCGCUUGCCCCAUCCUCCGCCAGCAGACGUCAGAUUCCAACCCUCCCAUCAAGCUCAUCUGCGGCCAUGUUAUCUCCCGAGAUGCACUCAAUAAGCUCAUUAAUGGAGGAAAGCUGAAGUGUCCCUACUGUCCCAUGGAGCAGAACCCGGCAGAUGGGAAACGCAUCAUAUUCUGAUUCCUACCUGGAAGGAAUUUUGUUGAAAGGGGUUUUCACCUGUGAGCCUUGGUCUGUCUCAGUAGGGUGGUCAGCUUCAGUGGACUGUGGUUGGUUUCAGAGCGCCUGGCUGAGGAGUUCCGCUGAGGGGAGGGCUGGAGCAGCCCUUUGGCAGAGGCUGAGGAGGGAGAUGGACCAGCCCACACCUGGCAGCUGGCUCCAUGGCAUAAGGAAAGGGAGAUACUGGCCUCUGUGCUCCUGCUGUCUCUUCCUGUUCUGUUUGCCUUUGACUUAGUAGCAACCGACAGAGUGGCAAGGGAUUUGGUCUUCAGCAGUAGACAUCCUUCCACCCCUGCCCUCAGCCAAGUCUCUUGCUGCCAUGCCAAUGCUAUGUCCACCCUUGCCCCUCGGCCCAAGGGUGUCCAGUGGUGGCCCACCUCUUCCUCCCACUACAGCCUCAACAGUACGUACCAUCUCCCACUGUAAAUAGUCCCAGUUAGAAUGGAAUGACGUUGUUUUAUAACUUUGAACAAAUGUAUUUGCUGCCCUUCUCACUUCUCCUGGCCAACCUUUAGCCUCCCUGACAAAUUAUGACCACGUGUCUACCACACACAGGGGCUGGCACGGCCUGGGGGCUGCUGCAGACAAAAACACGGCCAGCAGGUAUCCAGUGUCCAGGCAGGAAGAACCCAGCUUGACUGCGGGGAGCUUAGAUGGCAGACCCCGGGCAAGGUGCUUUUACAUAUACCCAUACCAGAUCUUACUACCUCCAUAGGAGAAAUCCGUGUAAUGGGAUUCAGGAAAAUGAAGUAACUUGCACAACAGGGCUCACAGCUUAGAAAGGAGAGAGCUUGGGGUUUUAACCAGAUCUGACCCUCAAGCCCAAGCUAUUUCCAGUUUAUUCCAGGGUGCCUGAACUUGGCUGUUAUGUAUACUGAGUCCCGUGCAGGGCCUCUGACAGCAGGAAGGGGCCCCAAGUCUAAAAUAUUUGAAGGGAUUGGGUUACUAGGGCCAUUAUGUUAAGCAAGAGAGAGCUCGGGGGGAUGCAUUUUAGCUUCAUAUUCCUAUUUAAAAUUUGCUGUGUGGGUGGGUAAAUUGCUUCCAUAAGCUUCACAGUGGUAUUUAAGGCUCCUGGGGUAAGUUAGGAAUGGGGGUGUUCCUGAUGUGGGGGCUUUAGGCUUCCGUGAAGUGGGUCUGGGCCCCCUACCUUACCUCACAGCCUCAGUCUACCCUGGAAGAGGGAGUUGAAAAUGCUGGGAUAACAGCAAGAUCAGUUCUCAGCUUGAGCCAAAGCACCCGGCCCUGGGCAGCUGAGCAUUAGCACAGAACCCUCUGAGUCCUUCGGGCUCUCUGGUGAGGAAGACUGCUUCACUCUUCCCGCACACCAACUCCUUGGCCCAACCAGCAGCUACUGCUUAAGAAAACACCCACAGACUCACCACAUUUUAGUCUUAGCAUUUACUUUCCCCACCCCACAUUCUUGGAACAGCCUUUAGUUCUACAGGAAAUGGCACUGAUGGACAGAAGACUGGCAUUACUUUCAUGAAAGGGCUGUUAGAGCUGCCUGGGAAGAAGGCGUGCCUUGGGGAACAGGAAAGAUGCUGUCACUGUGGGUGGGCAGGAGGACAGCCAGUCUUCCUGCCGCCAACCCAGUAGCUUCCAGCGGCAGGUGCCCAGGUGCUACCAGAGCCCCUCAUAGGGGUAGGGGCAGGGACUGCACCUCCUCCAGGCACUCGUCGUAAGCCUCCUGGUACUCGUCGUGGGGCUUGACCAUUAUCACACAGGUGGGGCGCUUGGAGCCUGCGGCUGCACCCAGGUCCUAUAGAGGGGAAAGAAGUGCUGUUUGGAAAAAAGGCUGUACAACCUGUAUGCCAGGAAGUCACCAACUGAUGACCCACCAGCCUAAUCUGGCCUACAACCAUGUUCUAUUCGGUCCAUGUUCUAUUUAAAAGCAUCUUGAAUUGGUUGCCAUC
rnacentral:sRNA from 1 species